GACGAACGCUGGCGGCGUGCCUAAUACAUGCAAGUAGAACGCUGAAGAGAGGAGCUUGCUCUUCUUGGAUGAGUUGCGAACGGGUGAGUAACGCGUAGGUAACCUGCCUUGUAGCGGGGGAUAACUAUUGGAAACGAUAGCUAAUACCGCAUAACAAUGGAUGACACAUGUCAUUUAUUUGAAAGGGGCAAUUGCUCCACUACAAGAUGGACCUGCGUUGUAUUAGCUAGUAGGUGAGGUAAUGGCUCACCUAGGCGACGAUACAUAGCCGACCUGAGAGGGUGAUCGGCCACACUGGGACUGAGACACGGCCCAGACUCCUACGGGAGGCAGCAGUAGGGAAUCUUCGGCAAUGGGGGCAACCCUGACCGAGCAACGCCGCGUGAGUGAAGAAGGGUUUCGGAUCGUAAAGCUCUGUUGUAAGUCAAGAACGGGUGUGAGAGUGGAAAGUUCACACUGUGACGGUAGCUUAUCAGAAAGGGACGGCUAACUACGUG
rnacentral:rRNA from 1 species